GGUGGACUUGUGACAAGUACAGAGGCCACCGGAGCUCAUCCUUAAAUCCAGUAGAGAAAUGCCACAGGCUUCAGACAGCAAGCAUCAGUCACAUCUCGGAACUUUAUAGCACUGAAGCACACCCAUUUGCAGUGAAGACGUGCCCCACAAGGGUAGAAACUGAGCCACUGGACACACUAGUUAACGUUUUGUUCAUUCUCAGGUGCUGUGUCCCAGGUCCUCACACGGAUGAACACAGUACAGUGAGGUCCUCCUGGAAGACAGACCUCACACGUCCUGGCUGGGGAGCUGAGCAGUUGUGCUUGCAUGUGCCGUUGACAUCUUGCAUGCCUUACCACAGGCUGGAAGCAGAGCCACGCCAGUCAUGCGUUGGCCCUCUGAAAACAAGCUAAGACAAACCUUUAUGCUUAGAUUAGUUGCCUUCUGUAUUUUGUUACAGUAACACGAAGCUAACCGUUUUAUUAAAAGUAUAUUGUCACUUCACCUUUCCUAAUUUAUAGCCUGCCUUGACUUGCUUAGACUUUAUCUCAAAACUCUCUUGCUGUACAAGCCUGGAAGUAGAAAUGUCUACGCCCUCCUAACAGGUGUCAUAAUCUUCCCC
rnacentral:lncRNA from 1 species